rnacentral:rRNA from 1 species
UUGUUGGUGGGGUGAUGGCCUACCAAGGCGACGACGGGUAGCCGGCCUGAGAGGGCGACCGGCCACACUGGGACUGAGACACGGCCCAGACUCCUACGGGAGGCAGCAGUGGGGAAUAUUGCACAAUGGGCGGAAGCCUGAUGCAGCGACGCCGCGUGAGGGAUGACGGCCUUCGGGUUGUAAACCUCUUUCAGCAGGGACGAAGCGUAAGUGACGGUACCUGCAGAAGAAGCGCCGGCCAACUACGUGCCAGCAGCCGCGGUAAGACGUAGGGCGCGAGCGUUGUCCGGAUUUAUUGGGCGUAAAGAGCUCGUAGGCGGCUUGUCGCGUCGACUGUGAAAACCCGCAGCUCAACUGCGGGCCUGCAGUCGAUACGGGCAGGCUAGAGUUCGGUAGGGGAGACUGGAAUUCCUGGUGUAGCGGUGAAAUGCGCAGAUAUCAGGAGGAACACCGGUGGCGAAGGCGGGUCUCUGGGCCGAUACUGACGCUGAGGAGCGAAAGCGUGGGGAGCGAACAGGAUUAGAUACCCUGGUAGUCCACGCUGUAAACGUUGGGCGCUAGGUGUGGGGGGC